rnacentral:rRNA from 1 species
UUUUAUGGAGAGUUUGAUCCUGGCUCAGGAUGAACGCUGGCGGCGUGCCUAAUACAUGCAAGUCGAGCGAACAGACGAGGAGCUUGCUCCUCUGACGUUAGCGGCGGACGGGUGAGUAACACGUGGAUAACCUACCUAUAAGACUGGGAUAACUUCGGGAAACCGGAGCUAAUACCGGAUAAUAUAUUGAACCGCAUGGUUCAAUAGUGAAAGACGGUUUUGCUGUCACUUAUAGAUGGAUCCGCGCCGCAUUAGCUAGUUGGUAAGGUAACGGCUUACCAAGGCAACGAUGCGUAGCCGACCUGAGAGGGUGAUCGGCCACACUGGAACUGAGACACGGUCCAGACUCCUACGGGAGGCAGCAGUAGGGAAUCU